AUCGCUUCUCGGCCUAUUGGCUAAGAUCAAAGUGUAGUAUCUGUUCU
rfam:Thelazia callipaeda genome assembly, scaffold: TCLT_contig0001334